rnacentral:rRNA from 1 species
CCUACGGGCGGCUGCAGUGGGGAAUAUUGGACAAUGGGCGAAAGCCUGAUCCAGCCAUGCCGCGUGUGUGAAGAAGGCCUUCGGGUUGUAAAGCACUUUCAGUGGGGAAGAAAGCCUUGGGGCUAAUACCCUCGAGGAAGGACAUAACCCACAGAAGAAGCACCGGCUAACUCCGUGCCAGCAGCCGCGGUAAUACGGAGGGUGCGAGCGUUAAUCGGAAUUACUGGGCGUAAAGCGCGCGUAGGCGGUCUGAUAAGCCGGUUGUGAAAGCCCCGGGCUCAACCUGGGAACGGCAUCCGGAACUGUCAGGCUAGAGUGCAGGAGAGGAAGGUAGAAUUCCCGGUGUAGCGGUGAAAUGCGUAGAGAUCGGGAGGAAUACCAGUGGCGAAGGCGGCCUUCUGGACUGACACUGACGCUGAGGUGCGAAAGCGUGGGUAGCAAACAGGAUUAGAUACCCGAGUAGUC